UACGUAGGGGGCAAGCGUUAUCCGGAUUUACUGGGUGUAAAGGGAGCGCAGACGGCAGUGCAAGUCUGAUGUGAAAGCCCGGGGCUCAACCGCGGGACUGCAUUGGAAACUGUACAGCUUGAGUGUCGGAGAGGUAAGCGGAAUUCCUGGUGUAGCGGUGAAAUGCGUAGAUAUCAGGAGGAACACCGGUGGCGAAGGCGGCUUACUGGACGAUGACUGACGUUGGGGCUCGAAAGCGUGGGGAGCAAAC
rnacentral:rRNA from 1 species